UACGUAGGGGGCAAGCGUUAUCCGGAUUUACUGGGUGUAAAGGGAGCGUAGACGGCAUGGCAAGUCAGAUGUGAAAGCCCGGGGCUCAACCCCGGGACUGCAUUUGAAACUGUCAGGCUGGAGUGCAGGAGGGGUAAGUGGAAUUCCUAGUGUAGCGGUGAAAUGCGUAGAUAUUAGGAGGAACACCAGUGGCGAAGGCGGCUUAUUGGACUGUAACUGACGUUGAGGCUCGAAAGCGUGGGGAGCAAACAGG
rnacentral:rRNA from 1 species